CAUAUAGACACUUUAAAAGUGUUAAGAGCAACUCUUACAGUGUUAAUUUGGGUAUGCUCAUUUUACUGUGUGGCAACAAGGGCUUUCCAACGGGAACUGGCCUACCGGUCAGGAGUGUGUCAGUCAACCCUGACCCGAGCCAUGCCAGCUGUGUGGGACAGAAUCAUCUUCCAGGUACAUCAAAUUCCCACACAAUGCUGUUGAGAAUGGCCAAUAUUAAAGCGCAGUUUACAGCAAGAGCCAGUUUCCCUAAUGUAAUCGGAGCUAUUGACUGCACACACAUGCCAACAAAGCGCCAUCACAGGAUGAAUUUGUUUUUGUCAACAGAAAACAUUUUCAUUCGAUAAAUGUUCAAAUAAUAUGUGAUGUGCAAAUGCAGCUCACUAGCAUCGUAGCAAGGUGGCGUGGUUCAACGCAUAACUCGACCAUUCUGACCAACAGCAUGGUUGGGAACAGGAUGGAGCCUGGUAUGGUGCGUGAUGGGUGGCUUCUCGGUGAGUAAAUAAUUUAUCUGUUAAUAAAGUUUGUCCUAAGUGUUCGUUUCCCACUGAAACAAUUGGAAAAAAAAAAGUUAUUCAUUCAAAUGGUGUAUUAACAAUUAAACUUAAUCUAUUUCACAUGUUUUCUGCCUUCAUUUGACCCCGUGGCUACGCCCCUGAGAACGUGGCUGUUGAACCCUCUCACCAACUCCGGCACCGACCAAGAGAGGAGGAACAAUGACCUCAAGUCCCGAACUCGGGCAGUGGUGGAGAGGGCAAUCGGCCGUUGAAGGGACGCCGGCGCUGCUUGGACAGGUCGGGGGGAGUGCUGCUCUACAACCAGAGAAGGAGGCUGGAACAAUAACCCUUCAGCAGACCAGUUCCAAGCCAUUUUCCACCGCCUGAUGGUGUGGUGUGGGGUGCCUCCAAGUGCAUCAGGAAAUGUGGCAGUACAGGAUGCGACUGUGUUUCUGUCAGCUUUAGAAAAGCCAUCUUCCUCCACAGCAGAAGAAACCGAAGAGCUGCCACCCCCUUUUGCAAACGCUUCUGCAAUUGUGCGUGACCACAGUUACCUGCCAACUCGCUUUGGUGGCCUUGUUGACAAUACCCUUGUCUACAGCUCAGGGUUUGUGAUUCGGCAAAUUUUAAAGAUGUUGUGUGUCGUGGUAGCUUGGUCACUGAUGCUGUGCUUGCAUCACUUGAUCAGAGCUACCACUUACCCCAACUAAAAAACAAGGGGGGACUAAUGGUUCCAUCUGAGGGGACUUUGAGGGUAAUCAGAUCAGCUGAGCGUUUCAUUCGCCAGUCUGUGCCCGGGCAAGCUGUCAACUUGUCCUAUAUCAAUCAGUUUGUACGGGUUGAUGUUGGAGCUGAGGAUGUGUUUGGUCUAGGUGAGAACAUUCAGGAAACACAGUGUGGAAUUGAUAACCAUCACUAUGUGCUGAUGUCACUUGUUUCCGAACUAAAAACAAUACAAGAGAGAGAGUGGCAACAAUAGGAAAAAAAUGUGCAAACCAUUCUUUUUAAAGUAUUUUAGUGGUCUUACUUAAAUAGAAAAAUGUCUAUAGUGUACAUAACCUGUGUGUAUGUGUGGUGUUUAAAAUAAUUUUUGUUGCCUCCAAAUGGCCAAAAAAUGAAUGAAAAUAAUAUGUUUUUUUCUUGUGUGUGGAGGGGUGUUUUUCUCUCAGGAGUGACAAUAUGCAAUGCAUGAUCAUUUAACAGGUUUACAAGUACAUCAAGUAUCAAGAAGUCAUUCCUGUUGUGUAGAUUCCCUCAGCAUUUAUUUUAGUGACUUUUUAGUCUGUAUUUACCCUUGACGCUUCUUAUGCUAAUGGGUAGGGAAUUCCACUGACUGAUGGCUCUGUAAAUAACUGCCUUGUUCAGUUGAUUUUUUUUUUGGACUGUGGGAGGUUAAAAUAGCCUUUUCUGACCAGUCUAGUCAUACGACUGUGCCUUGAGCCUGUCUGAACCAGCUGUUCUGGAAAAAAAAAAAAAAAAAAAAAUCGUGUUUGAUGUCAA